UACAGAGGGUGCGAGCGUUAAUCGGAAUUACUGGGCGUAAAGCGUGCGUAGACGGUUAUUUAAGUCGGGUGUGAAAGCCCCGGGCUCAACCUGGGAACUGCAUUUGUGACUGCAUCGCUGGAGUGCGGCAGAGGGGGAUGGAAUUCCGCGUGUAGCAGUGAAAUGCGUAGAUAUGCGGAGGAACACCGAUGGCGAAGGCAAUCCCCUGGGCCUGCACUGACGCUCAUGCACGAAAGCGUGGGGAGCAAACAGG
rnacentral:rRNA from 1 species